UACGUAGGUGACAAGCGUUAUCCGGAUUUAUUGGGCGUAAAGCGCACGCAGGCGGUCUAUCAAGUCUGACGUGAAAUCUCUCGGCUUAACCGGGAGCGGUCGUUGGAAACUGAUGGACUUGAGGCGAUGAGAGGGGUGUGGAAUUCCCGGUGUAGCGGUGAAAUGCGUAGAGAUCGGGAAGAACAUCGGUGGCGAAAGCGCUCUACUGGACCGCAACUGACACUCAGGGACGAAAGCUAGGGGAGCGAAUGGG
rnacentral:rRNA from 1 species